rnacentral:rRNA from 1 species
AUUGAACGCUGGCGGCAUGCCUUACACAUGCAAGUCGAACGGCAGCACGGGGGCAACCCUGGUGGCGAGUGGCGAACGGGUGAGUAAUGCAUCGGAACGUGCCCAGUAGUGGGGGAUAACUAGUCGAAAGAUUAGCUAAUACCGCAUACGACCUAUGGGUGAAAGCGGGGGAUUCGCAAGAACCUCGCGCUAUCGGAGCGGCCGAUGUCUGAUUAGCUAGUUGGCGGGGUAAAGGCCCACCAAGGCUUCGAUCAGUAGCUGGUCUGAGAGGACGACCAGCCACACUGGGACUGAGACACGGCCCAGACUCCUACGGGAGGCAGCAGUGGGGAAGUUUUGGUACAAUGGGCGCAAGCCUGAUCCAGCCAUGCCGCGUGCGGGAAGAAGGCCU